rnacentral:rRNA from 1 species
AUUGAACGCUGGCGGCAUGCUUUACACAUGCAAGUCGAACGGCAGCGCGGGCUUCGGCCUGGCGGCGAGUGGCAAAUGGGUGAGUAAUGCAUCGGAACGUGCCCAGUAGUGGGGGAUAGCCCGGCGAAAGCCGGAUUAAUACCGCAUACGACCUGAGGGUGAAAGCGGGGGACCGAAAGGCCUCGCGCUAUUGGAGCGGCCGAUGUCGGAUUAGCUAGUUGGUGGGGUAAAGGCUUACCAAGGCGACGAUCCGUAGCUGGUCUGAGAGGACGACCAGCCACACUGGGACUGAGACACGGCCCAGACUCCUACGGGAGGCAGCAGUGGGGAAUUUUGGACAAUGGGGGCAACCCUGAUCCAGCCAUGCCGCGUGCGGGAAGAAGGCCUUCGGGUUGUAAACCGCUUUUGUUCGGGAAGAAAUCCUCUGGGCUAAUACCCCGGGGGGAUGACGGUACCGGAAGAAUAAGCACCGGCUAACUACGUG